rnacentral:rRNA from 1 species
AGAAUCAACGCUGGCGGCGUGCCUAACACAUGCAAGUCGAACGAGAAAGGGGAGCAAUCCCUGAGUAAAGUGGCGACCGGGUGAGUAACACGUGACUAACCUACCCUCGAGUGUGGAAUAACAUCGGGAAACCGAUGCUAAUACCGCAUAACAUCGGCGCUUUUAAGAGAUGCCGAUCAAAGGAGCAAUCCGCUUGAGGAGGGGGUCGCGGCUGAUUAGCUAGUUGGCGGGUAACGGCCCACCAAGGCGAAGAUCGGUAGCCGGCCUGAGAGGGCGCACGGCCACACUGGAACUGAAACACGGUCCAGACUCCUACGGGAGGCAGCAGUGGGGAAUUUUGCGCAAUGGGGGAAACCCUGACGCAGCAACGCCGCGUGGAGGAUGAAGCCCCUUGGGGCGUAAACUCCUUUCGACCAAGACGAUAAUGACGGUACUGGUGGAAGAAGCACCGGCUAACUCUGUGCCAGCAGCCGC